rnacentral:rRNA from 1 species
AUACAGAGGGUGCGAGCGUUAAUCGGAAUUACUGGGCGUAAAGCGCGCGUAGGCGGCUUAUUAAGUCAGAUGUGAAAUCCCCGGGCUCAACCUGGGAACUGCAUCUGAUACUGGUAAGCUAGAGUUUUGGAGAGGGAAGUAGAAUUUCAGGUGUAGCGGUGAAAUGCAUAGAGAUCUGAAGGGAUACCAGUGGCGAAGGCGACUUCCUGGCCAAAAACUGACGCUGAGGUGCGAAAGCGUGGGUAGCAAACGGGAUUAGAUACCCUAGUAGUCC